AGGGAGAGGAACACUCGUCAGAUGCAAAAGCCAUUUCCUUCCCAGCAAAAAGCACUGUCAGAAUCUGUGUAUUUAGUGCAGCACAACAAAGCACCUCUUCGUAUCAGCUCAGCUCCAAGUGCUGUGACAGCUCUCCUGUCGAGACAAAGCACUCCAGAGACAGGCAGACAUGCUACUAACAGCAGCAGCACAUGGACCACCUUACAGCUGGAUGGAAGCCACAGCAUGUAGCAGAUGGGGCAUCCCCCAAGUUCUCAACAGCCCUUUGGGCUAUAAACUCACCCAAACAAAACUGUGCAAGGAACCCUACCUGUCUGAAAGCUUUCACCUGCCCUUGCCUGCCACUGCCACUUUCUGUCCUGUGGGCUGAGGAGAGCCAGACCUGGCAAACACCCAAGCCUGCUGCAAACAGAGCUGCCACAGGCUGGUGGCACCAUCCAGGCACAACUGCCUACACAGCACACGGUACUUCUCCCAGUAAUGCACACUGCAGAAAUUAGAACCACCAGGAAAAUUCCUGGCCACCUGACACACCGCUUUACACUAAAUGUAAAACUUCGUCAAGGUCCCGUGAAAUGCCCCUUCCUGACCAAAUUUGCCUGAUUGUUCCGAAAGCAUUUGCUGUUGUAAUCAUACACAGAGCAGUGAUUUA